UGAGUGGCAUGGAGGGACAAGGAAAUAUUGUAUCUGAGGAAGCCGGAUGGUUGGUUGUGUUCAGAUUGUAAAGGAAUUGCCAGAACUGGAGGAGUCUUUAGGGAUCUUACAGUUGAAGCCCUCUGUUUCUAUGAGUGAGAGAGGAAAGGCCAUAUGAGGACACAGCAAGGAGGUGGUUGCCUGCAAGCCAGGAAGAGAGCUUUCACCAGAAACUGACCAUGCUGGCGCCCUGACCUUGGACUUAACCAGCCAACAAAACUUUUUUUUCAGAUGAGCCGCCAGAAGAUCCUCCUCUCUCUGCUUGGAGUUACUUGCGGUGCUUUGGAAGCAGGACAUGGAUCCCAGUGAAAUACACCGUGCUGAAAACACUCUGUUCAAGUCUGGCCCUCGACACUACCCUCCACAUUCCAACAGCCACGUUGGCUCACCAGGAAGAGAAGCUGGAGGUGUUUUAACUGACUCAGUGCUGAAAUCAGGCUAGCGGAGACAGUGAUUUGAGAGAGAGCCUCUUUCUUUGGUGCUCUUGGGAGCACAGCAGCUGUGCUCGCUAAGAAAGGACCUUGAGGCCUUCUGGUUACGGUGACCUGAAGAAGUGGGCAAAUCCUCUUGGCCAAAAGCAGGUGUGAAACUGGACAGAUUC